ensembl:lncRNA
AAAUCUUCCUGCCAGGCAUUCCAAGUUGGGCCUACUUCUGAUCCCAACCUCUGCUGGCUGAGAAAGAUAUAGAGGAGAAGACAUCUUUGCAAAAACAUCAUUGGUGACUGGGUAUUGCUAAGAACUGAAAUCCCCACUAGUUAAGAACAGGUGAGACCACAGAAGAGUAAGUAGACAGGGAAUCUUGCUCUGCUUAUUGUGAUUUUGUCAUGAGAGCAUUGAGCUGAGUUAUCUGACGCAGAUGAUUUUAGUCCUCUUUCCUAAUAGCCUGCAAACUACCAACAGGCAGAUUUUUCUGAAUUUGUUAACUGCAGCUGUUGAAUGAAGCUGUGUCCAGUACUGAAGAGAGGCUUCAGCUCUGUGAUCGCUUAGUUACGUGACACCCAUAGUUGAUGGGUUGUUUAGGAGUUGUUUGCAUCUGUUAUUCAUUCUCUGUAUGAGUUACAGGUUUUACUGGCAGACCUCUAAGGUAGAAUAAUGGAGCUUUAGCAUUUACAGCAUAUGUCUUGCCUGUACCCUGUUGACCAAAGAAGGGAAGAGAAAUAUGAAAGAGGAAUGACGGUUUUCAUUUAAGUUUACUCAUGCUAGUCACAGCUACCAGACUGUUUUGAAAACAUUAAGGGAACGAGGGACUGAAACAUGUGUUAUCUAUAGUGUUGCUUCAUUGCACGUCUAGCAAAGGCUGUGGUGCUGUUUUGGAAGUGAGCCUCUUUGUCAACUAACUGGAAAAAAAAAAGAGUCGAAGUAAGACUGACAUCAUAGCUCAAGUUGGAAGAGAUUUUGGAAGAUCUUUAGCUAACCUGCCGCAUAAAGCAAGGUCUGUUUGAGGUCAGGUAAUUCAGGGCUUUAUCUAUUCUCAUCUUGAAAUACUGCAUGACUUGAGAGAACACGACUUCCAUGGACAACCUGCUCUGCCUGCCUGACUGUCCUCAUGGUGAAGAUGUCUCAUCUUAUAUCCUGUCUGACCAUCUCUUGUUUCAAAUUAGGCUUCUUGUGUGUUCUCCUCUGCCUGUGCAGUGCUGUGAGAAGACAGGUUUUUGUCUUCAUGGUACCUGUGUUACCCUCUCCAGUGGUGAGAUUGGAAUCUGGACCUCAAUCACGAGUCAACUUCUUGUCUUCCAUAUCAGACUCUCUACAGAGGGACAAACCAACUAGAUCUGCAUGAGGGAGGAUAUUGGGAAGUGUGCUGUCACUGUGAAGUCACUGUCCAGCAUGGGAGUUGAAGGAGUGGGCUGGAUGAUUGUUUGUCCUUUUCCUCUCCUGUCUUGACAGGGGAGGUUUGAAUUGCCCAUCUAGAGUUGAAACUUUGCCCAUUCUCUUUGUGCUACCACUUUCUGAUUAUUUUUUGCUGUACGUAAAUAUUGUUAAUGUUAAUUUAUGGGGAAGAGAGGGAAGCUAAUGGGAGAGUCUCCUGUUCUGCUUGCUCUAUUUGUUUCACUUUUCCUACUUUAGUAUCUCAAAGCAACUUCUGUCAUCGGUGACAGGGGAAAUUCCCCUUGUUGCAAUAUGUUUUUACAAUCUGAGUUCCUGCCACGUGCUCAGUAGCAUGUUGACAGGCAAGUUGUGGAGGAGUGAAGAACCUUGGGGGGAUAGCUUGGGAGAAAGGGCAGGUGUGGGGGUGAAUUUCCCAAAUGGGAACUGUUUUGUCUUUUGUCAUGGAAAAGAAGUUUUACUCUUUCAGAACAUAAGUAGCUAGAGGGAGUACUUGAACUUCUUGUGAGUCACUUCACAUGAGCCAUAGAUGUAAUGACAUAUAUUAAAACCUAAUGGUGAAGUUUGAACUGGCUUUCUGAUCCUGUUAGGAGCAGAAGGCAGUGAGUCCACCUUGGCUCAUACUGACUUGCAUUCUAUGAUAGUUCCCCUAAAGCUUGCAGUUACCUUCUCCAGGAACUGAAACGCUCAGCUCUAAUGAUGUCUUUACAUCACAUUUUCCCACGUCAUUUUUUUUCACCUUUCUUGAAGUCAUGUCUACAUCAAAGUCCAGCUCCUUUGUUUUGCUGCCUGCUCUCUGCCAUACCUCAUUUUGCCAAAGUCAACACUUCUACACUGGAAAGAACUGUGAUGCUCUAAUGACUGAAAUUCACUGUGUAUCUGGUCUAGGAAGGGGAAAAAAUGUAAUCUGUGAUAUCUUACUCAUUCAGUCUCUCUGUCUCAUUCCCAAAAUGGAUUAAUAGCCAGAGAUAAAGAGUUAGCGGUGUCUCUUCUUGCUCUGUUUAGAGUUUUCAUAGUUUAGGCAGUGCUAUGUAGUGUCAUCAUGUCAGCUUACCAGAAUGCCAGUGAGUGCAGAAGAUGAACUCCAGAGAUUUGCAGUAAGGGGUUUCAUUGCUACUCCUGUGACUGCCUUAAGUAAUGCUGUGUGAAGCGUUGUUCCUUUGAAUUGUCCUUCAUGCUGCAAGAGCUUUGUCCAGUAAGUGAGCAAACUUGGGAAUUUCUUCUAACAACAGUUACUUCAGAAAAAUUAGGAGGCUUAAAUAUAGUGUAACAAACUUUUUGCUUCUGUGUGUCUAGAAACUGGAAAUAUGAAGAAUAACAGAGGUACACUGUAUUCAUAUAAAAUCUUUCAGGCUCAAGCUUCCAUGAGAAACUUGGCCUGGAAUAAGCUGUCUUAUAAUUACUAUAUAUAAGCAAAAAAAAAAAUGGAGCAUUUUGCUGAUCCUUGAACUUACUGUCUUGAUCCUUCAUGCUAUAUUUCCUUAAUAGUUUUUCUGUGACUUAAAAAAGCAUAUGCAUUUUUCACUGAAGUUGUCAUUCAGAGACUUUGUGCCUUUACAAGCUGUUCCCUAUUUUUGGCCAAAGGUUGUGUUGGAGGGUGGAUGAGCACAUCAGAACUUGAUGAUCUACCCUGUACAUUCUGUACUUCAAACAAAAACUGCAAAAACUUUCUCUGAACUCAGCUUAAACUACUCCAAGCAACUAUCAGCAUGAUUAAAUAGUAACAUGAAUAGUCCCUUCUGAACCAUCUAUGCGUGUUACAGAUGGAACUAAUGUAUUUAAAACAAAUAUUGCACAAUGAAGUACUAUGGAAAAGCUUUUGAUUUGAAGUUCCCAAACAUCCAACUUACCUUUGUCUGAGUGUUGGCUUUAAGCUUUUGGAAAUGUUCCUUACACUGCUCCAUUUCUUCUGGUGUGGGAGAUACGGCUGAAAAUUACCUUCUGAAUUGCGUUUGAAGUGACUCAGUUCUUUCUUUUUUCUGGGGUGCCAUGUCACCACAAGACUUGCUUUUCAAGGCCCAGGAUAGUGUUUCAGGUGCUGGUGUGUGGCACAGGAUGCUUCAAGCCAUCUGGUGGCUCCAUGUGGGUUUGUGGGAGAGUAAUAUAAUCAACCUGCCAGGCCUCACCAUAUUUGCUCCAGCCAUCAUUUUCCAUACCAAAGAGUCUUUACAUGCUUGGCUUGUUUAAUGUAGCGCAUAUUAUGUCCGUGGUUAACCUGUGAAAUAGCAUCCAAGGUCAAGUCCAUCCCUUGAUCCUGAGCCCAUCUGUUAUGCUGCAUCUCUUCCUUGAUGGCCUGAGGUGUCAUGGACCUACUGAGAUAGAAGUAAUUCACCCUUAGGUUGUCAGUCCAGAUCUACCUGAGCCACUUAAAUCCUAGCAGCCUGAUCCACCUGCUGGUUGUUUUGAUCUUCUUCAGUAACAAGAGUCUUGGCUAUGUGGGCAUCUACGUGAUGUGCUUUUGCAACCAUGCUUUCUAUUGAGGCAGCGGUAUCUUUCCAUAGUGCAGCAACCCACAUGUGUUUUCCUCUGUGCUGCCAGUUCUGCUUCCAUUGCUGUAACCACCCCCACAGGAUAUUUGCCACCAUCCAGGAGUCAAUAUAGCGGUUGGAAGCUGGCCGCUUCUCUUGUUCAGUGUUAUCUAAAGCCAGUUGGAUGGCCUUCUCUUUAGCAAAUAGUCUUGAUUCACCUUCUCCUUCAGUAUCUUCUGCAACUUCUUGUGUAGAACUCCAGACAGCAGCCUUCCACUUCCAGUGGUUUCUAAAUAUGAAAAGACCCAUCAAUGAACAAGGCACAUUUCUUCUAAUUCUCUGGUAGUGGACUAUAUAGCGAAGCCUUUUCAGCAUGCGUUACCUCCUCUUCUGGCAAUAUUCUGAAACCUUUGUCUUUGGGCCAGUCAAUGAGCACUUCCAAGAUUCCUGGAUAACUGGGGUUUCCUACCUGAGCCCAUCAUGUCAUCAGUACAACCCACUUACUCCACAUAGCAUCAGUAGCAUGAUGUGUGUGGGGAACCCUUCCUUUGAACAUCUAGUCCAGUACCAACAGUUGGGUUGCCAAAAGGAGCUUGAAAUAGAAAUAUAAGAAGUUUGGUCUAGAUACUGCAGCAGGAGAAGGAGUGUCCAAGGAGCAAAGCUAAAUUUCUCUGAGUCUUAUCUCUGCAGUCUGAAAAAGCAGGCUUGCAAUGUGCUUGUUGAGCCUGGACCUGUGGUGCUAUGGUGGGAGUGUACUCCCAUCCCUUGGGCAAAGGUCUGUGAGUAUUCAGCUGUCCUUUCUGAGAACCCAUUAUCAAGCAUUUUAGUGAAAAGACUAAGGCUGAGCUAAGAAACCACUAAGGAAGAUAGUGAGAGUGAAAAGGAAAUGAAAGUUUUAAUUCACACAGUCCUUGUGAUUCCUUGUAAAAUACAUACACACUAUGAAUUCAGAAUUGUAAUUAGGACUUUCAAUUUCUGAUUUCUAGCCCUAACAGAGCAUGUUUAAUCUGAAUUUCAUGAACUAAGUACAUCACAACUUCAGAACACACAGUGACAUGCUGUGAAAAUGACUUUACAAAUCUCUAAUAGAAUUAAACAGGAGACUGAAAAGAAUUGAUUAAAGAUAUCUGACUCUUUCUUGAGAUACUGAGAGCUAAUAUUGAGCGUGUAAUUGUUAUAUAAGAUAAUAAUUUAUGACCAUCUACCUGUAUCAGUUGUGAAUUGGAGUAAGGAAGAAGAUAUUCUACAAAACAUAAUUUUUUGUGUAAGCUGCUACUUAAGUGCAAAGUCAGUAUGAACAAAUUGGCUUGGGAAAGUUCAAGAGCAACUCAGAUUUUCCUUUCAGAAUGGUCUAGAGUCUCUUGAUCUAAGGAGAACUAAAUGUUUUUUUGGUUUACUUCAGUUUCCUCCUUUCCAGGAAUGCUCUGUACUGAAGUAUUCAACAGGAAAGAGGUCAACUUUUGGAGAGAAUCUGGGCAACUUUGUAUGGAAACUAUUUUAAAAAUCUAAAAAAUAGAUUGGACACUAGACAUCUAGAACUAACUAGAUAAAUAAAUCUCUGAAUCUUUCAGUCUCA